rnacentral:rRNA from 1 species
AAACCAACCGGGAUUGCCUUAGUAACGGCGAGUGAAGCGGCAAAAGCUCAAAUUUGAAAUCUGGUACCUUCGGUGCCCGAGUUGUAAUUUGGAGAGGGCAACUUUGGGGCCGUUCCUUGUCUAUGUUCCUUGGAACAGGACGUCAUAGAGGGUGANAAUCCCGUGUGGCGAGGAGUGCGGUUCUUUGUAAAGUGCCUUCGAA